GAUGAACGCUGGCGGCGUGCCUAAUACAUGCAAGUCGAGCGAACAGAUGAGGAGCUUGCUCCUCUGACGUUAGCGGCGGACGGGUGAGUAACACGUGGAUAACCUACCUAUAAGACUGGGAUAACUUCGGGAAACCGGAGCUAAUACCGGAUAAUAUAUUGAACCGCAUGGUUCAAUAGUGAAAGACGGUUUUGCUGUCACUUAUAGAUGGAUCCGCGCCGCAUUAGCUAGUUGGUAAGGUAACGGCUUACCAAGGCAACGAUGCGUAGCCGACCUGAGAGGGUGAUCGGACACACGGGAACUGAGACACGGUCCAGACUCCUACGGGAGGCAGCAGUAGGGAAUCUUCCGCAAUGGGCGAAAGCGUGACGGAGCAACGCCGCGUGAGUGAUGAAGGUCUUCGGAUCGGAAAACUCUGUUAUUAGGGAAGAACAAAUGUGUAAGUAACUAUGCACGUCUUGACGGUACCUAAUCAGAAAGCCACGGCUAACUACGUG
rnacentral:rRNA from 1 species